GUCGAGGCUCUUAUUCCGCCCGAGACGACGUUUCUUUCUGCACGCGUGAAGUUCCACACCGCGAGUCCCGGCGAGGCCGGGCAGGGAGAGAUCGAGUCGAUGCGCCUGGAGCGAAUCCCGAAACUCACUACGCCACCUACGGGAAAACGGCUAUCGCUUUACAACUUCAACAUCCACAAGAUGCGAGACGACUGGCCGGGAUGGAUCAG
rnacentral:misc_RNA from 1 species